AUUCUGAAGCUAGAGAUGUUAGAAAGAGAUCUUCGAGUAGAUCAUUUCAGUCUGUGUCAAAGAAAUUCCGAGAUGAUCAAAGUCAUUCAAAUGCUGAUGAAAGACAUUUGAACUGAGAUCGAGCUAAAUCGCAUUCGAAUUCCAGAGCUCCUGCUACUUCUGUUGCAAGUGUCAGGAAUGACCGAUCUGGGAAACCUGAAUGUAAACACUGUGGUAAAAGACAUCCAAGAAAUUGUAGAUUGAAUGACCGAGCCUGUUUCCGAUAUAGAUCUUUGGACCAUUUUGUAAGAGAUUGUUCUGAACCUGCUGAAUAAGAGAAUGUACAGAAUUUGAGACUGAGCAACACCUCAGUUAGAGGUAGACCUUCUAAAAAUACGAGAAAUGUAAGUGGUGGUCAAAGAGUUGCUAGGGACACUGUUGUUAGAUCUGAGGCCAGAGCACCUGCCAAAGCCUAUGCUAUCCGAGCUCGUGAGAAAGCCUCGUGAGCAAAGUAUUUUCCAGAAGGGGAGUUCAUGUGUGCAGUUUUAGGUUCGAACCCUUCGUAUACAUGGAAAAGUAUUUGGGGAGCUAGACAAUUUCUUCAGGAGGGGAUCAGAUGGCGAAUUGGGAACAGUAACGCAGUAAACAUAUAGAAAAAUUCAUGGCUGUCAGGACCUGGAAAUGAAAGGAUACAAGGUCAGAAUAUCGAUAUUGGAUAUACUAAAGUGACAAAUUUAAUCGGCAAGGAAACCACAACCUGGAAGCAAGAUACUAUUCGAGCAUUACUCGAAGAGGAGCAACUUGAAAGCAUUCUCUUAAUCCCAUUGGCGUGUAGUGAACCAGAGGAUGUUUUAAUAUGGAGAGGUGACAAUACAAGGGUUUAUACAACUAAAAGUGGUUACAAAUGGCUAAUUACAGUAGAGGUAUCUAGAUUACAGAAUGAAAUUCCAGCUACUUUCUUUAUAAAGUUAUGGGGUCUUAAGAUGCGAAGCAAAAUCCAAAUACAUAUAUGGAGAAUAGCUAACGAUUACAUACCCACUUUACAUAAUCUCUAGAGUUUGUAAACUGGUUGAAAGUACACUUUGCUCGGUUUGUCAAGCAGAUGAGGAAACGAUGAGUCACCUAUUCAGAGAUUGCACCUUCGCACAGUAGGUAUUGAGGGGAUUGGAGCGACAAAUCCAACAUGCAACAGAGAAUCCAAUUGGAAAAAGUGAUUAGUGAUAAAGUUUAACAAUAUGAACAUUGAAGAAUGUAAAAUUAGAACUAUUGUCUAUUAGGCUAUUUGGUAUAAUCGUAACAAGAUAUAUCAUGAAGGAGUGCGUGAACAAGUAAAUGAAGUAACUUUUAUGGAGGAUAUAUCAAAGAACGCACAUGAAGCUAACAGUUCUGAAUGGAAACCACCGGAGAAUGAUACUAUAAAAAUUAAUUUUGACGUUUCAUUCAAUCAACAUAUGAGAAGUUCUUGUUCAAGAAUCAUAGCGCGAAAUAAAAAAAGAUUGGUGAUGGCGGCAUGUACCUUUCCAUGGGAGAAUAUCUCAGAUCCGGUUAUGACCGAGGAAAGGGCAUGUUUGCUGGGCAUUACUAUGGCAGAGGAAAUGGGUUUCUAGGAUAUUUGUGUUGAAGGAGUUGCGCUAACUAUAAUACGCAAAUUAAACCCUACAGAAGAAGAUAAAUCUGGCAUUAGCAGUCUGAUUAAAGAAACCAAGGGGAGAAUCCCCUAUUUGAAAAGACUGAGUUUUAGAUACACACCAAGGGAAGCCAACAAAGUGGCUCACAAAAUGGCGAUUGAAGGAUGUCAGCAUGAAAAUCCACAAUACUGGAUAGAGGAGGUACCGUACGCGGUGGAAGGACUAGUGAAUAGUGAUAGGAGAAGCGACGGAGAUGAAGGAUAGAUGGAAAAAGUGUCCAGACAUUGCGACAUUGUGUUUGUCUGAUGAAUUCAUGACCUUGACCGAGAAUAAGGCUUCAAAGAUUUUAUUCUGGAUGUUAAUCGGUCUCUUUGAGUAACUGAUACACAAUAGAUUUGGGGUUUCAAAAACAAAGAAGAAGAGUUUCCAAGCCAGAAUUUCUUUGAGUUUGACGUUUCAUUUCUUUUCUUUUGUUUAAUGAACAGUUUAUUUUAUUUCCCUUUUCUU
rnacentral:lncRNA from 1 species